CUACUGCAGAGUGUGGGCUUUCCAGCCAGAAACUGCUUUAUCUUGAGUCAACUAAUUAACUUGACAAAGCUCUCAGUGCUUUAAAAACAAGCAACAUCUCUGAACAGCUGACAGCAUUUUAGAGAGAUACAUCUGGGAAGCUGCAAGCACAGAAAUACAUCUGUUUCCAUUGUUAUAGAAAGAUAAACAGGAUCAGACUCCAGACACUGUGGGAAAAAAGUUCUUGCUUGUCUGCUUACUGUUUACUGCCUUUCUGGAGGAAGAAAUGUCACGGAUGUGUCAAAUGAUGGCAUGUUAACAGUUUGAGAAAAUUGCUCACAGAAACUAUAUCAAUGAUGCUGAGUCCUGCCUUUGAGUCUCUGCUGAAAACAGCCAGAUUAUUUUCAGAGUGAAUGAAUAAAUUAUGCUGCAU
rnacentral:lncRNA from 1 species